rnacentral:rRNA from 1 species
ACUCAAAUGAAUUGACGGGGGCCCGCACAAGCGGUGGAGCAUGUUGUUUAAUACGUCACUAACCGUAGAACCUUACCAGGGCUUGACAUCUCUGGACCGUCGGUGAAAGCCGAUUUUCCCGAGCAAUCGGGACUAGAAGACAGGUGUUGCAUGGCUGUCGUCAGCUCGUGUCGUGAGAUGUUGGGUUAAGUCCCGCAACGAGCGCAACCCUCACCCCAUGUUGCCAGCGGAUCAUGCCGGGAACUCUUGGGGAACUGCCUGGGUAACCGGGAGGAAGGUGGGGAUGACGUCAAGUCAGCAUGGCCCUUACGCCCUGGGCUACAAACAUGCUACAAUGGGCGGCAGACAAAGGGAUCCGAGACCGCGAGGUGGAGGCAAUCUCAAAAAUCCGCCCCCAGUUCAGAUCGCAGGCUGCAACUCGCCUGCGUGAAGUUGGAAUCGCUAGUAACCGCAGAUCAGCUAAGCUGCGGUGAAUACGUUCCCGGGCCUUGUACACACCGCCCGU